rnacentral:rRNA from 1 species
UGGGGAAUUUUGCGCAAUGGGCGAAAGCCUGACGCAGCAACGCCGCGUGGGUGAUGAAGGUCUUCGGAUCGUAAAACCCUGUCGUCGGGGACGAAGGUGGAGGGGUUAAUAGCCUCUUUGCUUGACGGUACCCGGAGAGGAAGCCCCGGCUAACUCUGUGCCAGCAGCCGCGGUAAUACAGAGGGGGCAAGCGUUAUUCGGAAUUAUUGGGCGUAAAGGGCGCGUAGGCGGCUUUUUAAGUGAGAUGUGUAAUCCCUAAGCUCAACUUGGGAACUGCAUCUCAUACUGGGAGGCUAGAGUACUGGAGAGGGUGGUAGAAUUCCACGUGUAGCGGUGAAAUGCGUAGAGAUGUGGAGGAAUACCAGUGGCGAAGGCGGCCACCUGGACAGUAACUGACGCUGAGGCGCGAAAGUGUGGGUAGCAAACAGG